rnacentral:pre_miRNA from 1 species
CAACUACUCCCUCUGUCCCAAAUUUCUUGUCUUAGAUUUGUCUAGAUACGGAUGUAUCUAAUACUAAAAUGUGACUUGAUACAUCUGUAUCUAGACAAAUCUAAGACAAGAAUUUGGGACGGAGGGAGUACUUU